rnacentral:rRNA from 1 species
AUGGAAUCACCCGAUUGGCAGAACCAUACAGAAGCAAUAGCGCGGCGGAAGCAACACCAAGUACAAAUCAGAGUGGCGCAGCACAGCAGCGACCCAAACCCGAGAGAGAUGGCCGCGGCAGCUCACCUCCGUUGUCACAUCGUCUUCAAUUCGGCGAGCAACGCCCGGCGUCACACGCAGGCCUCCGCCCCGUCGCUCUCGCGCGGUCGCCUCCCAACGGCUCGAAAGCCUCCCGUGGCCGGCUGCCAGCGCCACGGCGUAGGGGCCUUGGAACUAGGCGACGGAGCGGCGAGGCGGCCGGCGCCGCGGUUCCUGUGCCUGCACGGGUUCCGCACCAGCGGGGAGAUCAUGCGGAGGCAGGUGGCCCGCCGGCGUCACGUCCCGCCUGGACCUCGCCUUCGCCGACGCGCCCUUCCCCGCCGAGGGCGACUCCCCGGUGCGCGGCGUCUUCGACCCGCCCUACUACGAGUGGUGCCACUUCGCCGGCGAGGUCAGUCCGGCGGGCCUCCGACAGACCAGGAUUUUUUGAAGUACAAGAACUUCGGCGAGUGCUUGGCCGGCAUCGAGGAGCUGAUGGUGAGACAAGGGCCGUUCGACGGACUGUUUGGUUUCUCUCAGGUGGGCGCCCUCCUGUCGGCCGCGCUUGGGUUGGCCUUGAACAUGGUUCCUAGGGUGAAGUACGUUAUGAUCAUAUCCGGUGCGAAGAUCCAAUCCCCGGCAUUGGCUGCCAAGGCGUACGCCAACAAGAUCAACUGCACUUCGCUUCACUUCAUUGGUGACGGUGACUUCGUGAAGGCCCACGGCGAGGAGCUGGCGGACUCGUUCGUGGAUCCACUUGUCAUACGCCACCCGGCCGGACACACGGUCCCCAGAUUCGACGAGAAGGGUCUCCAAGCGAUGCUCGGCUACCUUGACAAGAUUGAAAGGGAUCUGGCGAGAGAUUAA